ACAGAUGACAACUGCAGCCCAGACGACCCAUGGCUAGGGUCAAAGCUGGUGCUGUCCUAGAAAUUGGGUCUCCCCUCCCAGAUCCAGGCUGCCUCCUGCAGGCUGCAGCCUCUGACAUCCAGCCAUCUCAAUAUUCCAGAGAAGAGGAUGAGUGUGAAGGGUGGUGGCGAUUUUAAACAAGGUGAUCAGGAAGACCUUGUGGAUAACUUCGGGUCUGAGCACACUCCAUCAGGGUUUCCGUAGCAACCAGAGGACUUCACAGGAGAGAGUGAAGGGGAAUUAAGAGCCAGAGAGAGCAGAGGAGAGAGGAGGAGUCCGGAAGAUGCCUGGCUUGGGACCCGAGAGUGGCAGAAUAGCAAAGCCUGCAGCAGCCACAGCACUGUGGUCCUGAGACCCAGGCCAACUUCCUAGAGGACUGGUCGGUGACUUCAGAGGGUAGGGGUGGCCUGGGCCAACACCCAAUUCCAGCUGUCCCUAUGACCCCAUACAUGCAGCCCCCCGAAAACCCAGAUUCCAAAACCACCUUCUUGGACUCUUCCCUGUUUCUAGCUUCUGACAUUCAAUCAUCUCAAUAUGACAGAUAUCACC